rnacentral:rRNA from 1 species
GGGUUCGAUUCCGGAGAGGGAGCCUGAGAAACGGCUACCACAUCCAAGGAAGGCAGCAGGCGCGCAAAUUACCCAAUCCCGACACGGGGAGGUAGUGACAAUAAAUAACAACACAGGGCUCUUUUGGGUCUUGUUAUUGGAAUGAGUACGAUUUAAAUCUCCUAACGAGGAACAAUUGGAGGGCAAGUCUGGUGCCAGCAGCCGCGGUAAUUCCAGCUCCAAUAGCGUAUAUUAAAGUUGUUGCAGUUAAAAAGCUCGUAGUUGAAUUUCAGGCCUGGCUGGACGGUCCGCCCUUCGGGUGAGUACUGUCUGUGGUCGGGUCCUACCUUCUGGCGAAGCGUCAUGGCCUUAACCGGCCGUGGCGGGGAACCAGGACUUUUACUGUGAAAAAAUUAGAGUGUUCAAAGCAGGCAAUCGCUUGGAUACAUUAGCAUGGAAUAAUGGAAUAGGACAAUGGUUCUAUUUGUUGGUUUCUAGGACCGUUGUAAUGAUUAAUAGGGAUAGUUGGGGGCAUUAGUAUUCAAUUGUCAGAGGUGAAAUUCUUGGAUUUAUUGAAGACUANCUACUGCGAAAGCAUUUGCC